UACGGAGGGGGCAAGCGUUACUCGGAAUCACUGGGCGUAAAGGGCGCGUAGGCGGCCUAGCAAGUCUGGUGUGAAAGCCCAGGGCUCAACCCUGGAAGUGCACUGGAAACUGCUAGGCUUGAGUUCCGGAGAGGAGGGGGGAAUUCCCAGUGUAGCGGUGAAAUGCGUAGAUAUCGGGAGGAACACCAGUGGCGAAGGCGCCCCACUGGACGGAAACUGACGCUGAGGCGCGAAAGCGUGGGGAGCAAACAGG
rnacentral:rRNA from 1 species